GCUAACUGGAAGCCUAUCCUGAAACCAAUACAACAGAUUGAAAGUCACUUCUGUUCAAAAGGAUUCUUAAAAAAGGACACUGACAAGAUUGGAUUGGAAGGCAGUAAACAGGAUACAAAACGAUUAAGCAGUUUUAUUUUUCAGGUCUGAGAAGAUGUCACCAGCAACAAAGAUGUCAUAUCAGAUUCUCAUUCUCUUUGGCUGAAAAGGUACCAAUUUUACAAGGGAAGAAAUAAAAAGUUAUGCAUAUGGCAAAGGAAGUGGGCUGUAAAAAUACUAAGGUGGAGUCACAGGAGUCACAGGAGCUGCCAACCUCUGAGGUGCACAAGUGAUCUUGAGGAAUAAUCUCCUUGACAAACUUUCAAUGGUAGCAAUUGAUUGAUAUUGCCAAGGCUGUCAUUGCACCAGAAAUGACUAGAAAGAUAUACUUAAAACAAAAAUACUACCAAGGUUAGUAGUGAUAAUGAAAGGGAUGCCAAAUUUCGGUUGGGGGAGGAUGUAUCAGUGGGCAUGUAAUUUAAGGUACUUUAUAUCUGACCCUGAACAUACCCAGAGUACAACCUCUCCUA